AGAGUUUGAUACUGGCUCAGGACGAACGCUGGCGGCGUGCUUAAUACAUGCAAGUCAAGGAGAACGUUUCCUUCGGGGAAUUAUUAAACUGGCGAACGGGUGAGUAACACGUAGGCAACCUGCCUUGAAGAUUGGGAUAACCCCGGGAAACCGGGACUAAUACCGGAUAAAGCAACGACUUCUUCGGAAGAUGUUGUUAAAGCGGGCUUCGGCUCGCACUUCAAGAUGGGCCUGCGUCCGAUUAGCUUGUUGGUAAGGUAACGGCUUACCAAGGCUUUGAUCGGUAGCUGGUCUGAGAGGAUGAUCAGCCACACUGGGAUUGAGAUACGGCCCAGACUCCUACGGGAGGCAGCAGUAGGGAAUUUUGCGCAAUGGACGAAAGUCUGACGCAGCAACGCCGCGUGAUCGAUGAAGCUUCUAGGAGUGUAAAGAUCUGUCGUGAGGGAAGAAAAAUCUGGAUGUAAAUAAUGUUCAGACUUGACGGUACCUCACAAGAAAGCACCGGCUAACUUCGUGCCAGCAGCCGCGGUAAUACGAGGGGUGCUAGCGUUGUCCGGAAUAACUGGGCGUAAAGGGUCCGUAGGCGUUUUGCCAAGUUGAUCGUUAAAGCCAUCGGCUUAACCGAUGAUCUGCGAUCAAAACUGGCAGAAUAGAAUAUGUGAGGGGAAUGUGGAAUUCCUGGUGUAGCGGUGACAUGCGUAGAUAUCAGGAGGAACACCAAUGGCGAAGGCAGCAUUCUGGCACAAUAUUGACGCUGAGGGACGAAAGCGUGGGGAGCGAACAGGAUUAGAUACCCUGGUAGUCCACGCCGUAAACGAUGAGUACUUGGUGGUGGGGGAUUCGACCCCUUCACUAUCGGAGCUAACGCGUUAAGUACUCCGCCUGGGGACUACGACCGCAAGGUUGAAACUCAAAGUAAUUGACGGGGACCCGCACAAGCGGUGGAACAUGUGGUUUAAUUCGAUGCAACGCGAAGAACCUUACCUGGACUUGACAUGUUAGUGAAAGUUUUGUGAAAGCAGAACCUUCUACGAGCUUGCUC
rnacentral:rRNA from 1 species